UACGUAGGUGGCAAGCGUUUGUCCGGAAUUAUUGGGCGUAAAGCGCGCGCAGGCGGUCCUUUUAAGUCUGAUGUGAAAGCCCACGGCUCAACCGUGGAGGGUCAUUGGAAACUGGGGGACUUAGUGCAGGAGAGAAGAGUGGAAUUCCACGUGUAGCGGUGAAAUGCGUAGAGAUGUGGAGGAACACCAGUGGCGAAGGCGACUCUUUGGCCUGUAACUGACGCUGAGGCGCGAAAAGCGUGGGGAGCAAACAG
rnacentral:rRNA from 1 species